CUCUCUCUGUGUGUGUGUGUGUGUGUGAAUUUGCUUUGAAAAGUAUACUUCCUCAGUAUCUACAAGAAUUAACUUAGUAAAUGUUCAUUCUUAUGUAUAUUAUUAUUAUUAUUGUUACUAUUAGUUUUAUUAUUAAUGUAGCUGAAUAUUUCAUCCAUCCUCCAAAAAAUGAAUAUUAAUUUUGUAAUAUCAGAUAAUUUCUCCUUCAUUUCCAUAUGACAACGUUCAUUUGUGUAUGUAAAUUCACUUCUUACCAGUAUUUAUGUAUUCAUUUUGUUGCAUUCACCACCAACGAAGAAUUUAAAACAAGAAUAUUUGACGCUGAAUUAACGAAAAUCAAGCUCAUAUCUUUAAAUGCCGUGUGUGUGUGUGUGUGUGUGUGUGUUGGACCUGAGGUAAUCUCGAUUGAUACUAUCGAGAGAGAGAGAGAGAGAGAGAGAGAGAGAGAGAGAGAGAGAGAGAGAGAGAGAGAGAGAGAGAGAGAGAGAGAGAGAGAGAUUAUCCUCGUGACGUUUACAGGGACAAAGAAAAUUGCACUUCCCCAUCCAGAAUAUGAACGAAAGUGACGGAAAAUGAAAAGAAAAGAAACACUGGCAGACAGUGAGGAAAAGAACCACCACUGCUACAAACAACAUCACUAUCACUACCACCACCAGGAAACAUCCUUCAUACAAUUUAGUGGAGAGAGAGAGAGAGAGAGAGAGAGAGAGAGAGAGAGAGAGAGAGAGAGAGAGAGAGAUCCUGCUUAAUCUUAUCUUUUCUCACCACCAAAUUAAACUUACUUGUCAUAUUUACACACACACACACACACACACACACACACACACACACACACACACACACACACACACACAC